CCCAGAUUAGAUUGUACCCUGGCGAAUAAGCAAGAGUUCUUUUUCAUUUUCAUCUUGCAAUUCAACUGGGUAUUUGGGUUCUUUUUCUAUUCACUCAUGUCAGAUAGAGACAUACAUGUUGUAAAUUAUUUUGUCAGAAUGAAAGCCUGGCAGAUUAAAUGCUUUCUUCUCUUCUUGCUUUACUUGAUAUCAAUCUCUUGUUCAUUUCUUGAUAAUAUGUUUGGUUAUUUUUGUUUUCAUUGCUUUUAGUGUCAGAGAUGGCUUUGGAUUCCCCGUUCUGUGUGCUGCUGUCUGGCUCCUGAACCCAGCUGUAGAGGUGUGUCAAUCCCAACUGGUGAAGUACUGAGAGGAAGCUACACAAAAGGCAGCAAAGUAUUAGUGAGUGGUGUCAUUGAGCAAACACGAAGUCGGGCUCAUCCAAGGAUGAGAUUUUGCCAGAGAAAGGACGAGCAGCAAGUCAGGGAGCUUAAGGUAAUUAUGGGAAAGUGACUAUCUACAAUUGCUUAGGUAGAAGGAGACAGAUUGGAUUUUUGUGUGUUUGGUAUUUGGGAUAAGAGGGA
rnacentral:lncRNA from 1 species